AUCAUGACCUGAGCCGAAGCCAGACGCUUAAAGACCGAGCCACCCAAGUGCCCCUCAAAAGGCUCUUUAAAGGAAUUGUGUUGUGCCCAAUGCGGGGUUUGAACUCACGACCCUAUGAUCAAGACCUGACUGAGAUCGAGUCGGACACUUACCUGACUGAGCCACCCAAGCACCUGAGGACACACAAAUCACCUGAAGGAGCUAAGGGAGACCACCAUUUGACAAUACAGGAAUCAAAAGGGGAAAAAACCUUUGUGUACUAAAAUAUGCUAAAUAAAUAUGUAAAAUUAAUACCUAGUAUUGAUUUUUUUAAACUACAACAGAAACCACAAACUUAGACCAGAAGAACACACUUUUCACCAAUUCAGGUGUCUGGUCUGGGAUAAGGAAGGUAUAGGGUGAGGCUGGGAAAGUCUCAAAAAGCAAGAAUAAAUUUAAAGAUUAAAGGACUGAGUCAGAGACACACAAAAAUCACCACAAGAAAUUUCUUGAUAUCCAUACAACUGGGCAUCAAGAAUUAAGACUGGUGAGCUAAAGUAAACUGAAUCAAAAACCAAUAAAAAAAAAAAUGAGACAUAAACAAGAGAAAGUCAGAAAAUUUCAGAUGCACCAUUUUUAGUCGCUAAUCAGUUACAAUCGUAGGAAGAACAUAAACAUUCUUGCUGGUAACAGAACAUGAGGGCAACUAAUAAAUGCAGAAGGAAUGAGGGAUUUAGAAGAAAACAUUGAUCUAAAUGAAGAUUUUUAAUUGUAAAAAUCAUUAGGCUAAUUAUUAAUAAGGAACUAUAUAUUCACAGAAUGAGAAGCUAAGACAACAGAUUUUUCUUUUUCUUUUUUUUUAAGUAGGCUCCCUCGGGGCUUGAACUCACAACGCUGAGAUCAAAACUUGAGGUGAGAGCAAGAGUAGGAUACUUAACCGACUGAACCACCCAGGCGCCCCUCACAGAGAUAUCCUUCUGACCAUACUGUGUGAAUUUGCUUUCUCCCUCAUUCUUUAUUCCUUUGUUGUUAUUUUUUACUUUUCUUUAUAGCACUUACCACUAUAUAUGAUACAUUUUCUAAUUAUUUGUUUUCCUGUUUAUUAUACAUCUCACUAGUGAGUCAAUUCCGUAAAGCAAGAACUGUAUCAUUUUUUCUCACCAUUGUACUGAUAGGUCUACCAUAAUAUUUAUCUCAGUGUAGACAGUGAUUAAAUGUUGAGUAUAUAAAUGACCAUGGUUUUUUGUCA